rnacentral:rRNA from 1 species
AACCGAGCGCAACCCUUGUCAUUAGUUGCUACAUUCAGUUGGGCACUCUAAUGAGACUGCCGGUGACAAGCCGGAGAAGGUGGGGAUGACGUCAAGUCCUCAUGGCCCUUAUAGGUGGGGCUACACACGUCAUACAAUGGCUGGUACAAAGGGUUGCCAACCCGCGAGGGGGAGCUAAUCCCAUAAAGCCAGUCGUAGUCCGGAUCGUAGUCUGCAACUCGACUACGUGAAGUCGGAAUCGCUAGUAAUCGUGGAUCAGAAUGUCACGGUGAAUACGUUCCCGGGUCUU